rnacentral:rRNA from 1 species
GCGCUUACAAGUGAGAAUGCCGGUAUGAGUAGCGAAAGACAGGUGAGAAUCCUGUCCACCGAAUGACUAAGGUUUCCUGGGGAAGGCUCGUCCACCCAGGGUUAGUCGGGACCUAAGGCGAGGCUGAGAAGCGUAGUCGAUGGAUAACAGGUUGAGAUUCCUGUACCAGUUGUAAUGCGUUAUUACCGAUGGAGGGACGCAGGAGGCUACCAGAUGCGCACUGAUGGAUAUGUGCGUGCAAGCAGUAAGUCUUGAAAAGAGUGAAAUGCUUUUUUCUAUAAGGACAAGCUGUGAUGCGGAUCGAAAUAAAGUAGAGAAGUCUGAGACGUCACACUGCCGAGAAAAGCUUCUAGGAAGUAUUACACUGCCCGUACCGCAAACCGACACAGGUAGUCGAGUGGAGAACACUAAGGUGAGCGAGAGAACCCUCGUUAAGGAACUCGGCAAAAUGACCCCGUAACUUCGGGAGAAGGGGUGCUCAUGGUAAAACAUGAGCCGCAGUGAAUAGGCCCAGGCGACUGUUUAUCAAAAACACAGGUUUCUGCAAAAUCGUAAGAUGAAGUAUAGGGGCUGACGCCUGCCCGGUGCUGGAAGGUUAAAAGGAGUGCUUAGCUUCGGCGAAGGUACGAAUUGAAGCCCCAGUAAACGGCGGCCGUAACUAUAACGGUCCUAAGGUAGCGAAAUUCCUUGUCGGGUAAGUUCCGACCCGCACGAAAGGCGUAACGAUCUGGGCACUGUCUCAACGAGGGACUCG